rnacentral:rRNA from 1 species
AACGAACGCUGGCGGCAUGCCUAACACAUGCAAGUCGAACGAGACCUUCGGGUCUAUUGGCGCAUGGGUGCGUAACGCGUGGGAACCUGCCCUUAGGUUCGGAAUAACUCCCCGACAGGGGUGCUAAUACCGGAUAAUGUCUUCGGACCAAAGAUUUAUCGCCUUUGGAUGGGCCCGCGUUGGAUUCGCUAGUUGGUAGGGUAAUAGCCUACCAAGGCGACGAUCCAUAGCUGGUCAGAGAGGAUGAUCAGCCACACUGGGACUGAGACGCGGCCGAGACUCCUACGGGAGGCGGCAGUGGGGGAUAUUGGACCAUGGGCGGAAGGCUGAACCAGCAAUGACGCGUGAGUGCUGAAGGCCUUAGGGUUGUAAAGCUCUUUUACCCGGGAUGAUAAUGACAGUACCGGGAGAAUAAGCUCCGGCUAACUCCGUG